GGGUAAUUGUCUUCAGGCCUUUCAAAUCUCCUUCUUUUUCUCUUUCUUGUUUUAAUAUCAAGGUUUUCAGAUACUUCAUCAAUCAAGACAUAUAAAAUGGAUUAAAUAUGCUGCCUGGAACUGAACUCAAUACUCCACAUAGGGCCUGAUCAUGAAAACUGUAAUAUGGCAAAUAUACUCCAUACCCAAAUAAAGAGGGCUGAUCAUGACAAAGCACAACACCAUAAUGGCAACUACAAUGAAAUAUAUUGGUUUCUAUGAACAAGAUGAAGUACCUGACGUGAUAUCCUCUGCUGCUGAAUAUGUUGAAUUGUUUUCCACGUUGUCUCUCUCUUAAAUUCGGAGGUUGUUGCCAGCUCUGACACAUGGGUUGGGGCUUGUCGACUGAGGAUUCCUUUCAGCAAGCAGAUGAAGGCAUGGCUAUUAGCUUCACUGUUUCUGAGCUUGGCCAAAACUGUGCAGCCAUGUGUCUAAUGCAAAAUUUUCGAAGAAAAAUAUCAGCCUUAAUAAUAGCUAAAGAAUAGAAAUUAAAUACUUUCCUUGGAAGAUUAAAAUCAUCACAGCAGAGAUGCAGAUUCCUCCGUCUUUUGAGGGCCUGGUG
rnacentral:lncRNA from 1 species